GGGGGAGUAUGGUCGAAAGGCUGAAACUUAAAGGAAUUGGCAGAAGGGCACCACCAGGAGUGGAGCCUGCGGCUUAAUUUGACUCAACACGGGGAAACUUACCAGGUCCAGACAUAGUAAGGAUUGACAGACUGAGAGCUCUUUCUUGAUUCUACGGGUGAUGGUGCAUGGCCGUUCUUAGUUGGUGGAGCCAUUUAUCUAGUUAAUUUCGUUAAUGAACGAGACCUCAGCCUGCUAACUAGCUAUGCGAAGGUAUCCCUUCGCGGCCAGCUUCUUAGAGGGACUACAGCCUUUUAGGUCACGGAAGUUUUAGGCAAUAACAGGUCUGUGAUUCCCUUAGAUGUUCUGGGACGCACGCGCGCUACACUGAGGAAUUCAACGAGAUUAUAUCCAUGUCCGACAGGCCCGGGUAAUCUUUGAAAUUCCAUCGUGAUGGGGAUAGAUCAUUGCAUUUGUUUGUCUUCAAUGAGGAAUUCCUAGUAAGCGCGAGUCAUCAGCUCGCGUUGACUAUGUCCCUACCCUUUUUACACAACACCCAUUGCUCUAACCAAUUGAAUGAUCCAGUGAAAUAUUCGGAUCACGGCGACAUGGGCGGUUCGCUGCUCGCAACGUCGUGAGAAAUCCAUUGAACCUUAUCAUUUAGAGGAACGAUAAGUCGUAACAAGGUUUCCAUAGGUGAACUUGCGGAAG
rnacentral:ncRNA from 1 species